CCUACGGGUGGCAGCAGUGAGGAAUAUUGGUCAAUGGCCGGAAGGCUGAACCAGCCAUGCCGCGUGAAGGUCAGUGCCCUAUGGGCGUUAAACUUCUUUUGUGCGGGAGCAAUAAUGGUCACGUUUGGCCAGACGGGAGUACCGUACGAAUAAGCAUCGGCUAACUCCGUGCCAGCAGCCGCGGUAAUACGGGGGAUGCAAGCGUUAUCCGGAUUUAUUGGGUUUAAAGGGUGCGUAGGCUGUGAGGUAAGGCAGCGGGGAAAUGCCCCCGCUCAACGGGGUGAAGUGCCAUUGAUACUGGCUAGCUGGAAUGCGGAUGAGGUGGGAGGAAUGUGUGGUGUAGCGGUGAAAUGCGUAGAUAUCACACAGAACACCGAUUGCGAAGGCAUCUAACGAAUCCGCGAUUGACGCUGAUGCACGAAAGCGUGGGUAUCAAACAGGAUUAGAUACCCCAGUAGUC
rnacentral:rRNA from 1 species